AUGGCGACCAUGGAGAACGUGAUCGUGCUCGUGAACCGCAUCCAGCGCGCCUGCACCGUGCUCGGCGACCACGGCGGGGACGGCGCCGCCGCCUCCCUCCCCGCCCUGUGGGAGGCGCUGCCUUCCGUGGCCGUCGUCGGAGGGCAGAGUUCGGGGAAGUCGUCCGUGCUGGAGAGCAUCGUUGGGCGUGACUUCCUCCCUCGAGGCUCUGGGAUCGUGACGAGGAGGCCACUGGUUCUGCAGCUGCACAAGACGGAGGUCGGGGAGCAGGAGUACGCCGAGUUCCUGCAUGCACCAAGGCGUCGGUUCACCGAUUUCGCUCUUGUGCGCAUGGAAAUCGAAGAUGAAACUGAUAGAUUGACGGGGAGAUCAAAACAAAUAUCUCCAGUCCCUAUUCAUCUCAGCAUAUACUCACCAAACGUUGUCAACUUAACAUUGAUUGAUCUGCCGGGUCUAACUAAGGUUGCUACCGAGGGGCAGCCUGAAAGCAUUGCCCAGGAUAUCGAAAACAUGGUGCGCUUAUAUGUUGAGAAGCCAAACUGUAUUAUACUUGCUAUAUCUCCUGCCAAUCAAGAUAUAGCAACAUCAGAUGCCAUUAAGCUUGCUCGGGAUGUUGAUCCAAGUGGUGAAAGGACCUUUGGCGUGUUGACUAAGCUUGAUUUGAUGGACAAGGGAACAGAUGCACUUGAUGUUCUUGAAGGAAGAGCUUACAAGCUACAACACCCAUGGGUUGGAAUUGUUAACCGCUCACAAGCAGAUAUCAACAGGAAUGUUGACAUGAUUAUUGCUAGGGAAAAAGAACAAGAGUUCUUUCAUUCUAGUCCUGAAUAUGCUCAUUUAGCCAGCAGGAUGGGUUCAGAAUAUCUUGCUAAACUUCUUUCACAGCAACUCGAGGCAGUUAUUAGGGCACGCAUUCCAAGCAUCACAUCUUUGAUAAACAAAACUAUUGAUGAGCUUGAAUCUGAGAUGGAUCACCUUGGUAGACCUAUUGGAUCAGACGCUGGGGCUCAGUUAUAUCUAGUCCUGGAGUUGUGCCGUGCGUUUGACAAAAUAUUUAAAGAACAUCUUGAUGGAGGACGACCUGGUGGUGAUCGAAUUUACUGGGUCUUUGAUAAUCAACUCCCUGCUGCUCUGCGGAAGCUUCCAUUUGAUCGCCACCUCUCCUUGCCAAACGUUAAACGAAUUGUGUCACAAGCUGAUGGUUAUCAGCCUCAUUUAAUUGCUCCUGAGCAAGGUUACCGUCGACUGAUAGAGUCUGGUCUCAGUUAUUUUAGAGGGCCAGCUGAAGCUUCUGUAGAUGCUGUGCAUAAUGUCCUGAAAGAGCUGGUAAGGAAAUCAAUUGGGGAGACUGAGGAACUGAGAAGAUUUCCCACUCUUCAAGCGGAGCUUGCUGCUGCAUGCAACAAAGCCCUGGAGAGCUUCCGUCAAGAGGGCCGUAAAACUACUGUGCGAUUGGUCGAUAUGGAGUCAGCGUAUUUGACGGUCGACUUCUUCCGCAAGCUUCCACAGGAGGUGGACAGGGCUGGAACUGGAUACCCUGUGGACAAUGCUGGAACUGGACCUUCCACUCCUGUUGAUCGGUACUCUGACGCGCACUUCAGGAGGAUUGCUUCUAAUGUGUCCUCGUACAUUGGCAUGGUAUCGGACACACUGAAGAAUACUAUUCCCAAGGCUGUUGUUCACUGCCAAGUCCGGGAAGCCAAGCGGUCCUUGCUGAACUAUUUCUAUAUUCAAGUGGGCAGUAAAGAUGCUAAGCAGCUCGCGCUACUCCUUGAUGAGGAUCGUGCUCUUAUGGGGCGCAGGCAGCAAUGCUUUAAGAGGCUUGAGCUAUACAAGUCAGCAAGGGAUGAGAUUGAUGCCGUGUCAUGGUCGCGGUGA
rnacentral:rRNA from 1 species